AGAAAGCUCUUCCAACCAAUAGCAAGCGCGGAGGACCGACGGAGAUAAAUGUUACUCCAACCAGACCGGCCCCAAGUGCGUCUCCUCGUGCUCUUCCUCCUCAGAGGUGGAGCCCAACUCCUCUUCCUCCUCGUCCUCCAUCCUCCCCGUCAGCCAGAUGAUCGACAAGGUGAAAGGUUACUGCUCCACGCGCUCCGACAACUUCUACAAGAACAUCAUGUCAGACAGCUUCGCCCACAGCACCAGGUUCUAGAGCAGUCCUCGAUGUUCUGGGGCAGACCUCCUCCUGGACUCCCCCCCCCCCCUCCCUUGUUUUGGAACAGCCCCAAUUGUUCUAAAAAAUGUUGUGACAUCAUCCUCCCGGCAGCUUCAGUGACAGAGGAGGCCUCUGUUAAAGGUUCCAAUAUGAAGCGCAACACUGGAACCUGCUGCCCAAGCGUGUUAUUUAAGGAUUCGCUUUUGUCCUCCAACUGCCACCCAACACUCUAGAACCUUUUGUGUUCUUGAACUACUCCUAACAUCCUAGAAGUCUCUGACAGUUAGGAAUCCUCUGUGUUCUGGAACUGCUUCAAGCAUUCUAGAACUCUUCCCCAGCCCGAGCCAGGACAGUCACAGAACCCUUCAACGUUCUAGAACCCUCCAGGCUUGUAGAACUUGUUCUGGAACAUUUGGUUUUCUCCUCGUCUCCCUCCUGUCCUCCUUCCCACCGUCCUUGCUUGUCCCUGAAGCUUCGAUUUGGAAUCCCAACUGUAAUUUAAAUUGAGCAGAAAUUCACGAUUUGUUUCUAUAUCUAGUCAUGAAUUCAUAACGAGCUGGUUGGUUUGUGCGGCAGAUUGUUAAUUGGGAAGCAGUUUUCCUCAGUUACUCUCGCAGCCUACACAGUAUGUAGUGAAGGUGCGUGAACACCAUCUUAAUGCGCUGCCUCUGUUUUGUAUAAAAGUGUCCGUUAAUCAACAAAACAGUCUGAAGUCUGUGAACUUGCUGCUGAGACCAAGUCAAGAUAAUCAUGGACAUAGUCGCACAUUAUGGUUUCAAAUCCCGGAGACUCCUGGAGAAUUAAGGGUGUCUGAGAGCCACGGGGGUGGGGAUGUUGAUGUGAUUCUACUGUAUCAAAUCAAAUUACAGAAUCAGCUGCCAGACUGUAACCACGAGGAAAUGAAAAGGAGCAAAGUAGGCUGUUAUGUUUCGGCGUUUUUAAUACUGUGAUGUUUGUUUGAACUAUACGUUUGUGCAUGUGUGGAUCGCCAUAUCCCAUGUAAAUAUCGAUGAUUUAUCUAUUCUUUGUGCCUUAUUCUAUAUUGUUAUAAUGUGUCCACCUGGUUGCUUUUGUUCAGGCCUUCACGGGUCCUGGAAGGGUCAGCGGGACUGUACAUACAAACCCAAACACUCUCCAACCCCCCGCUGUGUGGCGCAGCCCACGCACAGAAAGGGAAGACAUUGUAGGAAUUCACAGAAUAGUAUGUCUGGAACCUGGAAGCUACGGGCCAGAAGAUGAAGAGAUUAUUAUUCUGAACAUAUUUACAUACUAUUAUAACAUAUAUCAUCAUGAAAAAUACACCCAAGCAUAUUGACACACAUUUAGAUUCUAUAUUUGGAAAUAUCUCAACUUUGAAAUGUCUCUUAUCCACAAAUGUUGUUGACAAACCAGAGAUUUAAAGAAUCCCACAAGCUCCAGCGAUGGUAAUAUUUACCCCCUGCAGUUGGCAGAUUGGAAACAUCAUGUGGUGGUUUUAGAGAUAAUAAUAAAACCAGUAUAAUGCCGGUUGUUCACUGAAGCUCGGCUCCCUAGUGUUUGCUCAUCAUUACUGUUCGAUUGAAGAAUUCUGUUUGUGUUCAGAUCAGCAAUCAGCAGACGGUAACAAAGAUGUAACAUGAAGAAAGACAGUAACAUGGUGAUGGUAUCACAUGCUCAGUUUCCCCAUGUGGUGUCUGGUCGUGCACACAGUUGGGGUUAUAUUCAGGUGAAUAGAAUUUCACAUUUGGGGCUUAAAUAAUCAAAUAAUGGCAUUUAAAAAAACUCAACUUUAAGCGACAAUGUCCCGAUUAUUUGAAUAAACUACAGAAAAUGUUUCUUAAAA